rnacentral:misc_RNA from 1 species
GAUGAAAGAACGUAGCGAAAUGCGAUAAGUAAUGUGAAUUGCAGAAUUCAGUGAAUCAUCGAAUCUUUGAACGCACAUUGCGCCCGCCAGUAUUCUGGCGGGCAUGCCUGUCUGAGCGUCAUUUCAACCCUCAAGCAACUUCUGCUUGGUGUUGGGGAUCGGCCGUCAAACGCCGCCCCCGAAAUCUAUUGGCGAUCUCGCUGUAGCUUCCUAUGCGUAGUAGUAACAUCUCGCAUCUGGAGAGCGGCGCGGUCAUGCCGUAAAACACCCAACUUCUCAGGUUGACCUCAGAUCAGGUAGGAAUACCCGCUGAACUUAAGCAUAUCAAUAAGCGGAGGA